rnacentral:rRNA from 1 species
CUCGUAGGCGGUUCAGCAAGUCGUUUGUGAAAGUCCGAGGCUCAACCUCGGAACUGCAGUCGAAACUGCUGUGACUCGAGUCCGGUAGAGGAGAAUGGAAUCCCCGGUGUAGCGGUGAAAUGCGCAGAUAUCGGGAGGAACACCAGUAGCGAAGGCGGUUCUCUGGGCCGGUACUGACGCUGAGGAGCGAAAGCGUGGGGAGCAAACA